rnacentral:rRNA from 1 species
AGAGUACCCCUUAAAUAUAAUUCAAGUGGAACGGACCUUCGGGGUUAGUGGCGGACGGGUGAGUAACACGUGGAACGUGCCUUUUGGUUCGGAAUAGCUCCUGGAAACGGGUGGUAAUGCCGAAUGUGCCCUUCGGGGGAAAGAUUUAUCGCCAUUAGAGCGGCCCGCGUCUGAUUAGCUAGUUGGUGAGGUAAAGGCUCACCAAGGCGACGAUCAGUAGCUGGUCUGAGAGGAUGACCAGCCACAUUGGGACUGAGACACGGUCCAAACUCAUACGGGAGGCAGCAGUGGGGAAUCUUGCGCAAUGGGCGAAAGCCUGACGCAGCCAUGCCGCGUGAAUGAUGAAGUGUCUUAGGAUUGUAAAAUUCUUUCACCGGGGACGAUAAUGACGUGUACCCGGAGAAGAAGCCCCGGCUAACUUCGUGCCAGCAGCCGCGGUAAUACGAAGGGGGCUAGCGUUGCUCGGAAUUACUGGGCGUAAAGGGAGCGUAGCGGACAUUUAAGUCAGGGGUGAAAUCCCAGAGCUCAACUCUGGAACUGCCUUUGAUACUGGGUGUCUUGAGUGUGAUAGAGGUAUGUUGGAACUCCGAGUGUAGAGGUGAAAUUCGUAGAUAUUCGGAAGAACACCAGUGGCGAAGGCGACAUACUGGAUCAUUUACUGACGCUGAGGCUCGAAAGCGUGGGGAGCAAACCAGGAUUAGAUACCCUUGGUUAGUCCACGCCGUAAAACGAUGAUUUGCUAGGUAGGUUGGGAAUGUUUACAUCUCCGGUGACUGCAAGCUAAACGCAUUAGCAAUCCGGCCUGGGGAGUACGGUC